rnacentral:rRNA from 1 species
AUUGAACGCUGGCGGCAGGCCUAACACAUGCAAGUCGAGCGGAUGAAGGGAGCUUUCUCCUGGAUUCAGCGGCGGACGGGUGAGUAAUUCCUAGGAAUCUGCCUUGUAUUGUUUAAUAACGUCCGUAAACGGGCGCUAAUACCGCAUACGUCCUGAGGGAGAAAGUGUGGGAUCUUCGGACCUCACGCUAUCAGAUGAGCCUAGGUCGGAUUAGCUAGUUGGUGGGGUAAAGGCCUACCAAGGCGACGAUCCGUAACUGGUCUGAGAGGAUGAUCAGUCACACUGGAACUGAGACACGGAACAGACAACGACGGGAGGGAGCAGUGGGGAAUAUUGGAAAAGGGGGGAAAGGAUGAUACAGGAAAGCCGAGUGGGAGAAGAAGGUGUUCGGAUUGGAAAGAAAGUUAAGGUGGGAGGAAGGGAAGUAAGUUAAAAACAAGAGGGUGUGACGGUAACAAAAGAAAAAGCAACGGCUAACUACGUG